rnacentral:tRNA from 2 species
GCUGGCUUAGCUCAAUUGGUAGAGCAACUGACUUGUAAUCAGUAGGUUGGGAGUUCAAGUCUUCUAGCCAGCACCA